AAAAUACUGCAAAGUGUCGUAAAACAGUUAUCCAUGCAGCAGCUAGCGUACACGGUGCAAAGGGAUGGUGCUCUAAAAACACUCAUUUUCAAAUCGAACUUCAAAUUCAUGAAGAUUUUCCUCAAACAACUUGCAAGGCUAAAGCAUGGAGGACAUGGAAGACGACUGUUUUCUUCUAAAUGACGACUACAACCAUAACUACUGUGCGAACAGUGCCAGUGGACAAGUCCUCUAUCUCGGGAACGAACUGUCAGAUGUACCCCAACCCCGAUCUAUCUCGCCGGUUCUAGCCACGCGAGAUGUAGCUGCGCAGGAGAACCACUCAAAGGUUUGUUCCAGUUCCAGCAGCGGUUUAAAGUUCAUGGAUUCAGACUCGAGCAGCGUGAACAGUGACACCAGCGAGACUGACAGCCCAUCGUCGGCUUCCAUCGCAGGGAAACUGACCCUGAACUCAGCCUCAAAGUUUCGAAGCAGACAAGCGUUAAUGACUGUUAUGACCUUUGCACCCUAUGGUUGGAAGGUCCUUGUUUGGAAUCAGUGGUGUAGUGGUGCCUGGAGAAUAAUGAAUGCAAUGACCGAAGAGGACUAUAGAACCACAUACUGGCCGAACCUGGAGAAAGCCAUUGACCACCUGCUAAUACAAAACCCCAUGGACCACAUCUCCAUUUCAUACGAGCAGAUCUACAGUUGUGUGUACAAGUGUGUUUGUCAACAGCACUCUGAGCUACUGUACAAAGACUUGAUGCUGAAGAUUACUACCCAUCUUCGACAAGUCUCUUCUGAUCUUCAAAUUAGCCCACCAGGGAAUUUUAUUGAGAAUUUCAACAUUGCUCUGACUCGGUACACAGAUGCGCUUCAAUGCAUUGUUCCCGUAUUCAUCUACAUGAAUAAGUUCUACAUUGAAACGAAGCUAAACCGAGACCUGCGAGAAGAUCUCAUGAAGCUUUUCACCGAUCAUGUUGCAGAAAAACAUGUUAACACGUUAAUACCUCUUCUCCUCGAAGCCCAUUCCAUGCCUUUUCAAGUCAGACCUUCAACAAUGGCUAGUGUGGUCAAAGGCCUGUAUACGCUUUGGCCCGAUUGGGCACAUUUAGCCCCAGCUCUCUUCUCUGGAUUCAUUCCUCAAAUCAACCCGCCAACAGUGGAAUCCCAGCUGUCUGACUAUGCUGCUCGUGACCAGAAACUACAAAUGGAGCUAUCUCUGAAUGGUUUUCCCAGAGGUGACCAGUCUCGCAAGAGAGCCAGCGAGUAGUCUACAUAGAGUAAGGAGGAUGCAUACUAUUGCUUGCUAUUGACUUUAAAAAUAUGCUCUGACCGUUAGCGACCUGGUUCAACCCAAAUUGACAAAACACUGUGAAUGACGGAAGAUUCUCUGAUGCUGUGUGAAUUGGGUGAGCGUAAGCAUGGGCUCAUUUUUGACCCACGAGUUGUAGUGGACACGGUUUCUUUGCCUCUUCUGAAAAGCACAGUGAGUUCAUGAUGGUGCAUCAUUGUUCUUUCAGUUUUUGAUGUUAAAUGAAUCUUCAUUAUUGCUAAGAUACUAUGAGGUUUAAUGGGUUUGUUCUUAUUUUUCCAUUAAAGUGUGCCUUCUA